AACGAACGCUGGCGGCAUGCCUAACACAUGCAAGUCGAACGAGACCUUCGGGUCUAUUGGCGCACGGGUGCGUAACGCGUGGGAACCUGCCCUUAGGUUCGGAAUAACUCCCCGAAAGGGGUGCUAAUACCGGAUAAUGUCUUCGGACCAAAGAUUUAUCGCCUUUGGAUGGGCCCGCGUUGGUUUAGCUAGUUGGUAGGGUAAAAGCCUACCAAGGCGACGAUCCAUAGCUGGUCUGAGAGGAUGAUCAGCCACACUGGGACUGAGACACGGCCCAGACUCCUACGGGAGGCAGCAGUGGGGAAUAUUGGACAAUGGGCGAAAGCGUGAUCCAGCAAUGCCGCGUGAGUGAUGAAGGCCUUAGGGUUGUAAAGCUCUUUUACCCGGGAUGAUAAUGACAGUACCGGGAGAAUAAGCUCCGGCUAACUCCGUG
rnacentral:rRNA from 1 species